rnacentral:rRNA from 1 species
UUAAGUGACUAAGCGUACACGGUGGAUGCCUGGGCAGUCAGAGGCGAUGAAGGACGUACUAACUUGCGAUAAGCGCAGAUAAGGCAGUAAGAGCCGUUUGAGUCUGCGAUUUCCGAAUGGGGAAACCCAACUGCAUAAGCAGUUACUGUUAACUGAAUACAUAGGUUAACAGAGCAAACCGGGGGAACUGAAACAUCUAAGUACCCCGAGGAGAAGAAAUCAACCGAGAUUCCGGUAGUAGCGGCGAGCGAACCUGGAUUAGCCCUUAAGCACUCGGUGAAGUAGGUGAACAAGCUGGAAAGCUUGGCGAUACAGGGUGAUAGCCCCGUAACCGACGCUUCAUCGAGCGUGAAAUCGAGUAGGGCGGGACACGUGAUAUCCUGUCUGAAUAUGGGGGGACCAUCCUCCAAGGCUAAAUACUCCUGACUGACCGAUAGUGAACCAGUACCGUGAGGGAAAGGCGAAAAGAACCCCUGUGAGGGGAGUGAAAUAGAACCUGAAACCGUGUACGUACAAGCAGUAGGAGCACCUUCGUGGUGUGACUGCGUACCUUUUGUAUAAUGGGUCAGCGACUUAUAUUCAGUGGCAAGGUUAACCGUAUAGGGGAGCCGUAGCGAAAGCGAGUCUUAACUGGGCGCUCAGUCUCUGGAUAUAGACCCGAAACCGGGUGAUCUAGCCAUGGGCAGGUUGAAGGUUGAGUAACAUCAACUGGAGGACCGAACCGACUAAUGUUGAAAAAUUAGCGGAUGACUUGUGGCUAGGGGUGAAAGGCCAAUCAAACUCGGAGAUAGCUGGUUCUCCCCGAAAGCUAUUUAGGUAGCGCCUCGGACGAAUACUACUGGGGGUAGAGCACUGUUAAGGCUAGGGGGUCAUCCCGACUUACCAACCCUUUGCAAACUCCGAAUACCAGUAAGUACUAUCCGGGAGACACACGGCGGGUGCUAACGUCCGUCGUGGAGAGGGAAACAACCCAGACCGCCAGCUAAGGUCCCAAAGUAUUGCUAAGUGGGAAACGAUGUGGGAAGGCUCAGACAGCUAGGAUGUUGGCUUAGAAGCAGCCAUCAUUUAAAGAAAGCGUAAUAGCUCACUAGUCGAGUCGGCCUGCGCGGAAGAUGUAACGGGGCUAAGCAAUACACCGAAGCUGCGGCAAUGUCUUUUAGACAUUGGGUAGGGGAGCGUUCUGUAAGCCGUUGAAGGUGAAUCGUAAGGUUUGCUGGAGGUAUCAGAAGUGCGAAUGCUGACAUGAGUAACGACAAAGGGGGUGAAAAACCUCCUCGCCGGAAGACCAAGGGUUCCUGUCCAACGUUAAUCGGGGCAGGGUGAGUCGACCCCUAAGGUGAGGCCGAAAGGCGUAAUCGAUGGGAAACGGGUUAAUAUUCCCGUACUUCUGACUAUUGCGAUGGGGGGACGGAGAAGGCUAGGUGGGCCAGGCGACGGUUGUCCUGGUUCAAGUGCGUAGGCUUGAGAGUUAGGUAAAUCCGGCUCUCUCUAAGGCUGAGACACGACGUCGAGCUACUACGGUAGUGAAGUCAUUGAUGCCAUGCUUCCAGGAAAAGCCUCUAAGCUUCAGAUAGUCAGGAAUCGUACCCCAAACCGACACAGGUGGUCGGGUAGAGAAUACCAAGGCGCUUGAGAGAACUCGGGUGAAGGAACUAGGCAAAAUGGUACCGUAACUUCGGGAGAAGGUACGCUCUUGAUGGUGAAGUCCCUCGCGGAUGGAGCUGACGAGAGUCGCAGAUACCAGGUGGCUGCAACUGUUUAUUAAAAACACAGCACUGUGCAAAAUCGCAAGAUGACGUAUACGGUGUGACGCCUGCCCGGUGCCGGAAGGUUAAUUGAUGGGGUUAGCGCAAGCGAAGCUCUUGAUCGAAGCCCCGGUAAACGGCGGCCGUAACUAUAACGGUCCUAAGGUAGCGAAAAUUCCUUGUCGGGUAAGUUCCGACCUGCACGAAUGGCGUAAUGAUGGCCACGCUGUCUCCACCCGAGACUCAGUGAAAUUGAAAUCGCUGUGAAGAUGCAGUGUACCCGCGGCUAGACGGAAAGACCCCGUGAACCUUUACUACAGCUUGGCACUGAACAUUGAACCUACAUGUGUAGGAUAGGUGGGAGGCUAUGAAGACGUGACGCCAGUUGCGUUGGAGCCGUCCUUGAAAUACCACCCUUGUAUGUUUGAUGUUCUAACUUAGACCCGUUAUCCGGGUUGAGGACAGUGCCUGGUGGGUAGUUUGACUGGGGCGGUCUCCUCCCAAAGAGUAACGGAGGAGCACGAAGGUGGGCUAAUCACGGUUGGACAUCGUGAGGUUAGUGCAAUGGCAUAAGCCCGCUUAACUGCGAGAAUGACGGUUCGAGCAGGUGCGAAAGCAGGUCAUAGUGAUCCGGUGGUUCUGUAUGGAAGGGCCAUCGCUCAACGGAUAAAAGGUACUCCGGGGAUAACAGGCUGAUACCGCCCAAGAGUUCAUAUCGACGGCGGUGUUUGGCACCUCGAUGUCGGCUCAUCACAUCCUGGGGCUGAAGUCGGUCCCAAGGGUAUGGCUGUUCGCCAUUUAAAGUGGUACGCGAGCUGGGUUUAGAACGUCGUGAGACAGUUCGGUCCCUAUCUGCCGUGGGCGUUGGAAGAUUGAAGGGGGCUGCUCCUAGUACGAGAGGACCGGAGUGGACGAACCUCUGGUGUUCGGGUUGUGUCGCCAGACGCAUUGCCCGGUAGCUAAGUUCGGAAUUGAUAAGCGCUGAAAGCAUCUAAGCGCGAAGCGAGCCCUGAGAUGAGUCUUCCCUGACAGUUUAACUGUCCUAAAGGGUUGUUCGAGACUAGAACGUUGAUAGGCAGGGUGUGUAAGCGUUGUGAGGCGUUGAGCUAACCUGUACUAAUUGCCCGUGAGGCUUAACCAU